AGAUGCUGAAGGGAACUGAAGGAAGUUCUGCGUGUUUGUUUGUCAUCGGCCCUUUUUCUCCCCACUCUGUAUGUGCAUAUGCAUCGAACAGAAACAUGCUGGCCGGCUCUAGCGGCGUAAAGGUGUGGGGCUAGACCGAGGAAAGAGAGAGAAAUUUGAACUGACUUUGAAAGCGGCUCGUUGGAUCGCAACUGAAAGUAGGGGAGAGGGCGAGUCGAUAGACGCCUGGGUCUUCAGUAUGUCAUCUGGAAGGAUUUGCUUUUACAGAAAGUGUGGAGAAAACAACAGCUAAGUGACCGACCCCAAAUGGGAACAGUUCACCACAAGGAGUUAAUGUCGGAGAUUGGAGAGGGCUGCACACGCUGCCAAGAAUACAGUCUUCCAGAAAUCACUGAACUGAUGGGAACUUCUGCUCUCUUACCGUAAAGACUGAACAAGGGAACCCAAAUACUGUGGACAUUGUGACAGUUCAUCGCCAUGGCAAUGAUUCAGACCAUGCCCAUAGCUUCUGAGCGUCAGAAUUCAGAAAGUGAACACAGACUGCGAACAUCUGCAGCAUCGCCGAUCUUGCAGAGCACCAUGGGAAGCGUUGGCAGUCUUGUAUCAGGGCGCAACUACCAUGAUAAACACUGCAAGGCCAUGGAGUACAGCAACAAGUGUUGCAAGACCGGCCAAGUGCUGAAUAUUUUCAGGCAACAGGAUGGACACCUCAAAAAUGGCUACUCUCAGGACUGUGUUGGUGGAGUAGCUUCCAGGAAGCAAUGUUCAGCAAUUGGAAAAAGUGGGAAUUAUGCAUAUUUAAGUGAAGACCAGCGCAAUGGAAGUUGGAGCAUGACGGAAUCACCCAGCAGCCCUUGCAGUGAUCCUGAAGAUUUCCGUGAAGCCAGGUCAAUGAAUGGAAAUAUCCGAGGGCCCCCUCCAAAAAUAAUUCCAGUCUCAGGCAAACUCGAGAAGAACAUUGAAAAGAACAUUAUCAGACCGACAGCGUUCAAGCCCGUGCUGACCAAGAACAGGAGCUCAGUGCAGUACCUUGUCCCUCGUCCUGCUAAUGGGCUGUCGGACAGUGUGGGCAGCCUCAACAUCUUGUUCAAUGGUGGCUCUGUGAGCUCGGUCAACUCUGUCGAAAAGCGUAGCUCCUUGCAGGCAUUCAACUGCAAGAACAGCGUGCACUCUGGAACGAUGUCGGAUUCCGGGAGGAACUCCCUGUCCAGCCUCCCGACGUAUAGCGUGGGCUGUGGGCCGCACCUCGAGACGGGACACACCAACCUGGAGGCUGGCGGCCAGCAGCAUCUGUUCCAUGAGAGGGGCUUGGUGGUGGGACUGUCAAACUCCGACAGCGGCCGCUCCUCACCCAGCAAGAGCACGGCGUCUCUGACCAGCCGCGGGCCCCCGCUCUCCGACAGCGGGUCCUGCGACCGCUCACCGGUCUCCGCCCACGAGCUGCUGGUCCGCGAGCUGGAAGAGAAGCUGCGGGAGCGUGACGCCGAACUCCAGCAGAUGCGCCUGAGCCUGGAGGAGAGCGAAGUCGCCCUGUGCCAGGUCUAUGAGGAGAAGCGGCGCCGCUGUGAGCAGGAGAUGGAAGAGCUGAGGCAGAGCUGUGCCAACAAGUUCAAACAGAGCUCACAGAAGGCCCAGCGGGUGCAGCAAGUCCUGCAGCUAGAGCUGUUCCAGCUCCAACAGGAGAAGAAGAAACUGCAGGAGGACUUUGCCCAGUUACUGCAGGAACGCGAAGCCCUGGAGAAGAAGUGUGCGACGAUCGAAAAAGAGCAGACAGAGCUUGGGCCAAGACUGGAGGAAACCAAAUGGGAGGUUUGCCAAAAGUCCGGAGAGAUUUCUCUACUGAAGCAGCAGCUGAAGGACUCACAGGCUGAGCUCUCUCUGAAGAGCAAUGAGAUUAUCUCCUUGAAGGCUCAGCUCCGAGAGAUCAGAGCUGAACUCCAAGAUCACGAGGAUGAGAUUCACGAGUUCCGGGACUCUGUCCACACAAAAACCCUGGAGCUGGAAGUCUGCGAGAAUGAACUUCAGCGGAAGAAGAACGAGGCUGAACUUUUGAGAGAAAAGGUGGGAAUGCUGGAGGAGGAGACCACGGGCCUGAGAGAAGCUCUGGGCCACACAAGGCACAUGAACCAGGAGCAGGAAGACGCUGCCCUAAUGUACGAAAGUGACGAAGCCAAGGUGCAGCGACAAAAUGCAGACAACCAGAUGGCCCUGAGGCAGCAGGUGGAGAAACUGAGGGCUGAGCUUAUGUACGAACGAAAGAGGUGCGAGACCCAGCUGGAGAACUUUGAGGUGGAGCGGCGCACCUGGCAGGGUGAGAAAGAGAAAGUGAUUCGGUACCAGAAACAGCUGCAGCACAACUACAUCCAAAUGUACAGGAGGAAUCGAGAGCUGGAAAGAGAGAUGAGGCAGCUCACCUUGGAACUGGAGUCCAGGGAAAUAGGUGGGCUUGAAAUGCGAAACAAAGACAUUCAAUUUGAGGAAAUCACUGCGACAGAAAUCUAACUUAAAGAAAAGAUUUUAGUAACGAACAAAAGCACCCAUGCCAAAUCUAGUGUUGGAUAAAUAUAACACCGACAUAAUGGACAAUCAAUAUAAGUCUUUAACCUUCUCAAGUUUAUUCAGAUGCUCCCAAUAAAAGGACAUUUAAUGGCUUUGGAUAACCUGAUACAUACUCCCUGCAGGCACGUUUGGACACCUCAAUCUAUUACUUUUAUGGAGAACAGUUUGGUGAAUCUUCCUCCUUGUCACACAUUCACCAACACAAGAGCAAUUUCGGCAAUUUGACUAAUGGCUGAACAAGCCUUUCAUCAGGAAAGACAAAAGCAAUAAUGUCAAAGAUUAACUGAAACAUGCUUUAUAGAUGUGGAAGUAAAUAAAAGCCUCAAUAUCCUUCCGGACAGUGGUAAACCUUUCAUCUUGGCAGUAUCACAAAGAUUUUAUGCAGAUACUGCAUGAGUUACAGGGAAAAAGUGCAUGGGAGUGAGUUGGACUUUACAGAAAAGCACCAAGUUACUUGAAUCCUCUUCCACUUAUGUCAGUGAAAAGCAACAGCUUCUCAGUACUACAGUUACAAGAAGUUUUCUGCAGUAGUCUGGAUAGUUCAAGGAGAAAUAUUAGUGAAAAAUUAUGACAUUAUCUCAAUAUCCAACUGUUCUUCUAAACCUGAGGGAAUGGAAACUUACAAAGUGCAGUUUGGAGAUGCCACAACUGUGCCAUAGUCAUUUGCAGCAAUUAUUAAAAACAAAUGAAAAUCCCUGGCAGUGCAGUUGUGUAGAAUUCUUGUGCAAAACGAAAUGGUACAUUAAUGUUGCAGAUAAAUCAUGUGAUGAACGUAAAGGCAAACACUUUAAAUAAAUGGUGCAUUGUAAUGAAAAUGAAUACGUUCUUUAUAAAAUAAUUUAAUGGUCAUCUGAAGAAGGAACUGUGUCAUAUUCUGUUUUGGGAUAUGUACGUUGAGAAAGUAAUGAUCCAUUUACUUGUUUUGAAUAAUGAAGUAAAACAGUGUCCAUUCACUGUUUGAAAUCUUUUGUAAAUUUGUUUUAAAAUCAGCUGUAAAGUGGGUCAGAUUUCAAAUGAAUUGAAGUGUUGUUGAAAGACACGUGAUUUGUUUAAAAAUGCCUGUAUUGUGUGAUCAUCUCAGUUUAUAAGUUAACAGUCCAUCAUGGUCCUAAAUGAUUUAGUCUUCAGUUGCUCUUAGGUACCUUAACAACCAACACCAUUGGAUCUAGCGAUUUGUUACUGUAAGAUCGUCGAAUUAUGUCCACUGCUUGUCGAUGUGUGACAUUUUGCAGGCUUUUUCCAUCAGCUGAAACCAAUUCAUGACCAGCCUAUGACAGGGGAAGAAAACAGCACAAU